AUUGUAAUAGCAGAAUUUUGCGUAAAAUUUAGAAUUUUAAGGUAUAUUUACAAUA
rnacentral:tRNA from 1 species